GAAACUUAAAAUUUUGACGGUAUUUAAUUUUUUAAAGGAAUAAGUAAUUUAAUCGUCAACACACGUUUAUUUUACUUAUUUUAUUUUUGUAUAUCUCCGUUAAUAGAUUUUAUUAUAAAUUUUUAUAAGAUUCUUAAUAAAAUAUUUUAUUAAAUCAGGUCAAGGUGCAAAAUAAAUAAGAUAUUAUGUAUUACAUUCAAGUAAAUUGAAUUGGAUAAUUAUUGAAAAUUUAAUUAAAAAUUGAAUUUACAAGUAAAAUAAUAAUAAAGUGUUAUUUGAAAUUUUAUUAAAUAUGUACACAUCG
rnacentral:rRNA from 1 species